UACGUAGGGUGCAAACGUUGCUCGGAAUCACUGGGCGUAAAGCGCGCGCAGGCGGUCAUCUACGUCUGGGGUGAAAGCCCGGAGCUCAACUCCGGGAUUGCCUUGGAUACGGGAUGACUUGAGGAUCGGAGAGGCAAGGGGAAUUCCACGUGUAGCGGUGAAAUGCUUAGAUAUGACAUAGAACACCGAUAGCGAAGGCAGCUUGCUACACAAUAAUUGACGCUGAGGCACGAAAGCGUGGGGAUCAAACAGG
rnacentral:rRNA from 1 species